CCAAAUAGUCAGACAAGGGUGAGUUAAAUCCAUCAUGCUGCUGAAAAGACAUGAAAUGCAACAGCUACCACUACAUCCUGUAACUCUUUAGUUCUCCACGGUGGGAGGCUCUUUUCCAGACAGCACAGCAGAGAGCACUUCACCUGGGAAACAAAAAAGCCAUAAAGAGAAAUAAAAACCUUUAUCACAUUUGAUGAAGAGUCACAGAAGCCACAAAGGAACAAGCACAAAAGGAAGAAAAUACUUGUGACAAAGCCACAAGCAUAUGCAAUGUCCAGGAAUUUCGGCAUCCAAGCACCGUAUUACCCACUGAAGACGUUUUAUCUUGUGGGCACUGAAUUUAUUUCCAGUGUUGGAAGUACUUCCCCAACUGUCUCUUGGCAGUCUGGUUUUACUGCUAAAGCUGCAUUGGCUGCGGUGAACAGCAAGUGAGAGGCACUUCUUGUAGGUGUAGAGGAUGAUGGAGAUGGGAGGUGUGCUGGUCUGUGAGGACAGGCACCGCAGCCCUCUUGGCCAACCCCAGAAGGUAGGGUAGGUUCUUCCCCCGUGCUGCUCUUUUAUCCAACCAGCAUGGAAAAACAAUUACUCUAAUUGGGCACUCUUAAACAAAAGGAAGGCAAAGCUGAACUUUGUCACAACAGAAGCAGUGGUGUGGGCCCUGGGAAGCAUCCAUCUCUGCAAACUCAAGGAGAAGCCCAGGUUAGUGUAACUGAGGCACUCAACCAUGAGGAAGCUGAUAAUAAGUAAGAGGAAGCCCAUCUUCAAGUACUGUGUGCUACAGGAGCCCAAAGCCCUGCCUGCUUGACCCUUACUGUAGAGGCAUGUGUCCUCCAAUGUGCUCAACUGAUUGCAACAUCCAGUGGGCAUCUGCAGAGGAAAUGAACAUGCUGACUGCUCUGGGGUCCACGGGAGAUUUAGGGAGAAGUUGGAUUAGCUGCUGCUGUCUCCUUGUAAACGGCAGAGGAUGAUAAAUGCUUCAUGCCCUGCUUUUGCAAUAAAAGCCCAGCAUGAGAAUGCUUACCUAGAGAGUGGGAAAUAUGCACUCCUCCGCCUGAGACAACUCCAACUCACAUCUCCUACAGCAGUGAGGUAGCUGCCAAGCCCAGGCUGGUCCCAGUGGUGCAUUAGUCAUGUCUGAAGGUUUCCCUCAGGGAACUAAUGGGGAAGUUUAUCUGAUUUCUGAAUCUGGCUAGGUCAGGGCAUGGUUGAGAGGCGUUACUCUGUGUGAAAGUGAGGCAGAGAGGCAACGCUGAUGGGUUUCAGCAAGGCAGAAGCUGUGAAAAUUUUUUCAGCCUCUCACUGCUGGAUUCAAGCAUCUCAUUUUACCAAAGAGCCAUUUCAGAUGCCCAGAUCCUCACAUAAUGUAUAUGCUCAUGUUUUUCUGUGCCAUGGCAUGAUUCAAUACAGUGAUACCAUGGUAGAUACCUGGUGUCAGGAACCCCAGCAAUUAAAGAAAGAAUUUAUUUUAUCCUCCAGAUGACCAGGAAGAACUCCAAAGGCCACUUGUGUUCUGUGAAGAUGACUAUCUGAAGUACAUUCAUUUAGACUUGGGUGCUUUCUGUGCAGCUUCAUCCCACAGCUAAACCUCAGGUGUCUUCCUUCUGUGUCGUUCCAUCACUACCAUCACCAGUCACUUCCAGGUACACUGUACCAAAUUAGAUGGCACCAUAUCCAGGAGCAAUUACUCAUAACCAAGGGCUACUCUGAUGAAGCUGCCUAUCAGAAAUAAAGACUUUUAUUUACCUUCAAGGCGCAUACUAGAGUUUAGGCUUUGUGUCCAAUAUUCAAUUAAAUCAGGGUUGGGGUUGGAGUAUUUCUAGAUGGUAUUGCUCUAUGUAGGUAUUUUCUCAAUGUUUAAAAGUGUCAGACAAGGUCAGGGCCUCACUGGUGUCUGGAUUUACCAAAUUCAAUGUUUUUGAGAGAUUUUGACUGUGUCCAAAAUAGAAGAUAAAGGCAUUGUGGCAAUUGAUCCAACACCCAUCUGUUCAGAGCCAGUGAUUUGAAACUCCUCAUUCUCCUUCUCCCAAAAUUUGAGGAAGGUGGGAGUGACUUUGUGCUCAUUUCUGUUUAAAACAAAGAAUUGAGGAAUGCGUUGGCACAAGGAAAUGUUUCAUGUAUUCAGAGUAUACUCAGCACAAUGCAAGUUUUCUGUAAGAUAGCUCUUAUUCUGAUCUAUUAGUUCACAAAUCUAUCUGAAAACUGAACAGAAAGUAUAUUGGCAAAGAUAUUAACUAAGUUACCAGAGUUUUCACUAUUCCAAAGCAUGUUUAAACUCCUCUAUUUCCAACUCAAAAGGCUGCUCUGCUGGCAACAUUGGGUGGAGACAUUCAUUCAUUAUGGAACAAAACCAUGGGAAAAGAUUACCUCUGGAUUUCCUUUGGUGUUAUGUGGAGGUUUUUGGCUUCUUCCUCUCCCCAGAGGCGUAGAUCCAGGGAAAACAAUGUCCAGGAAAGGAAAACAAGCAAGAAAGCAUGCAGAAUUCCUUAGCUAAUGAAGAGGAAUGGCUGACUAGUCCUGCAAGAAGGCACUUAGCAGGGAGAACAGACACCGAUAGAGACCACUAAAAGGUGAGCGUCGGUGGAGUGACACUGCAGUUUCUCCAGUUGUGUUUUGUGAGCAGAAUAGAGAUUUCUGUAGUGCCAGUGCUCACAAAACAUCAAAUGGCUCUGACCAUCCAUCUGGAACCAAAACCAUCACAUUCUCCCUGUAUGGCUCUUAGGGGCAGAACAGAACUCAGGACACAGAUUCGUAUGACAGAGCGAGGAGAACCAAUCAAAAAAUGAUGUUAGUGCUGCAUCCUGUCUGAUAAAAGAGCUCAGCAAACAUCCAAGCCAUCGUGAUGGCACUGCUUUCUGUCCCCUCCCCACUUCUCUAUCCAUCCUUUCCUAUCCUGACACUUUGAAACAAGGCAUUGAAUGAUUCCUUUUCAAAUAUUU